GACGAACGCUGGCGGCGUGCCUAAUACAUGCGAGUAGAACGCUGAAGCUUGGUGCUUGCACCGAGCGGAUGAGUUGCGAACGGGUGAGUAACGCGUAGGUAACCUGCCUGGUAGCGGGGGAUAACUAUUGGAAACGAUAGCUAAUACCGCAUAAUAGUAGAUGUUGCAUGACAUUUGCUUAAAAGGUGCAAUUGCAUCACUACCAGAUGGACCUGCGUUGUAUUAGCUAGUUGGUGAGGUAACGGCUCACCAAGGCAACGAUACAUAGCCGACCUGAGAGGGUGAUCGGCCACACUGGGACUGAGACACGGCCCAGACUCCUACGGGAGGCAGCAGUAGGGAAUCUUCGGCAAUGGACGGAAGUCUGACCGAGCAACGCCGCGUGAGUGAAGAAGGUUUUCGGAUCGUAAAGCUCUGUUGUAAGAGAAGAACGAGUGUGAGAGUGGAAAGUUCACACUGUGACGGUAUCUUACCAGAAAGGGACGGCUAACUACGUG
rnacentral:rRNA from 1 species